ACAGCAUGACAUAUAAAAAGAGAACAGAUAUAUUUAUUCACUUCCGUUACUUCCCAGAGACUCUAAGCAAAGCUGUCAGCAAAUGCCAAUCAACUACUAAAUGGAAAUAGUGCACACUAUGAAAAAACCUACAGUAAAGUAGGAUGUAGAAGCCUGGGCACUGCAAUGUCUAAAAAACCAAUGACCCUUGUGCAAAUGGGCAAGUUAGAACAGGACCUGGCUGGAGAAGGAGGUUGUGCAGAGGCUGAAUCCUUUGAUCCAACAUCUCCUUCGAAUCUGCUCCAAUGCCUGCUAUAACAUGAAAGUUGAGAGCACUCUUUUUCUGGAAGUGACGUGGUUUCUGUGCCCUUUGAAGCUGCCCAUCGAAAUUCUGAUGUCAACACGGAACUGCAGAGAGGAGAAUCAUAUUAGACUUUUCUUGGGGCACAGAGUGAAAUGAUAUAAAUAUGAGUUAUCUGUUAA